rnacentral:rRNA from 1 species
CCUACGGGUGGCUGCAGUGGGGAAUUUUGGACAAUGGGGGCAACCCUGAUCCAGCCAUUCCGCGUGAGUGAAGAAGGCCUUCGGGUUGUAAAGCUCUUUCGCAAGGGAAGAAAACUUACUCAAUAACACUGGGUGAGGCUGACGGUACCUUGAUAAGAAGCACCGGCUAACUACGUGCCAGCAGCCGCGGUAAUACGUAGGGUGCGAGCGUGAAGCGGAAUUACUGCGCGUAAAGCUGGAAGUCAGAUGUGAAAUCCCCGGGCUCAACCUGGGAACGGCGUUUGAAACUACAAGGCUAGAGUAUGGCAGAGGGGGGUAGAAUUCCACGUGUAGCAGUGAAAUGCGUAGAGAUGUGGAGGAAUACCAAUGGCGAAGGCAGCCCCCUGGGUCAAUACUGACGCUCAUGCACGAAAGCGUGGGGAGCAAACAGGAUUAGAUACCCCUGUAGUC